GAUGGUGAACUAUGCCUG
rnacentral:ncRNA from 2 species